AUGAUUGUUGACUCAACAUUGAUUUCGUGCUUGAGUUGGAGGGCCCUCCCUCCAUAGAGUCAAGUAAUUCGCUAUCGUAAAUUUAGCCGCCGCGUAUCUCAUGCCAUGCUUCUUGUUUAUCCGAAUCGGUUCCGUCUGUCAGUCAAUAAAGAUUCGCCAUCAAGAGAGGGAAGAGCCUUGACUUUCGGUUAGGCCGGUCUCGUCAUUCAUGCAAUUCCCCCGUCCAUCGAUCGAUCACGCGAGCAUCCAGUCAGCACAUAGCGAACGAAAAAGGUGCACCAUGUUGAUAGGAAUCGGCAAAGACCUUCUUGUACACGUCCUAGAGGGCUGCAUUCAUGGCAAUCAUCACUAG